AAAGGGAAAGAGCCCAGACCUGCUGCUAAGGUCCCAAAGUACGUGUUAAGUGGAAAAGGAUGUGGGAUUUCGAAGACAACUAGGAUGUUGGCUCAGAAGCAGCCAUACAUUCAAAGAGUGCGUAAUAGCUCACUGGUCGAGAGGUCCUGCGCCGAAAAUGUCCGGGGCUGAAACACAACACCGAAGCUGCGGAACCCGCAAGGGUUGGUAGAGGAGC
rnacentral:rRNA from 1 species